rnacentral:lncRNA from 1 species
AGUCAGCCUUGUGUGUCCUGUCUCUCCCUGCGUUGUCCUGUGUCAUUGUGGGGAGUCCUGUUCAUCCUUUUGUGUCCUGUCUCACCCUGGGAUGUCCUGUGUCAUUGUGGGGAGUCCUGUGUCACCCUUGGGUGUUCUGAAUCAGCCUGGGUUGUCUUGUGUCAUCCUUUGGUUUCCUGAGUCAUCCUGGGUUGUCCUGUGUCAGCUGUGGUGUCCUUUGUCAUCCCGGGGUGUCCUGUGUCAGACGGGGUUGUACUGAGUCACUCUGGGGUGUCCUGACUCAUCCUAGGGUCUCCUGAUUCAUCCUGGGAUGUCCUGUGUAAGACUGGGUGUCCUGUAUCGUCCUCGUUGUCCUGUGAGAGCCUGGGUUAUCCUAAGGUCUCCUGAUUCAUCCUGGGAUGUCCUGUGUAAGACUGGGUGUGCUGUAUCGUCCUCGUUGUCCUGUGAGAGCCUGGGUUGUCCUAAGUCAUCCUGGAGUGUCCUGAGUCAUCUUGGGGUGUCCUGAGUAACCCUGGGGUGUCCAGAGUCAUCCUGUUGUGUCCGGUGUCAGCCUGGGGUGUCCUCUGUCAGCCUUGAGUGUCCUGUGUCAGCCUGGGCUGUCCUUAGUCAGUGUAGGGUGUCCUGAGUCAUCCUGGGGAGUCCUGUGUCAUCCUGGGAUAUUUUGUUCUAUCUUG